rnacentral:rRNA from 1 species
GACGAACGCUGGCGGCGUGCUUAACACAUGCAAGUCGAACGAAGAGCGAUGGAAGCUUGCUUCUAUCAAUCUUAGUGGCGAACGGGUGAGUAACGCGUAAUCAACCUGCCCUUCAGAGGGGGACAACAGUUGGAAACGACUGCUAAUACCGCAUACGAUCUAAUCUCGGCAUCGAGGAUAGAUGAAAGGUGGCCUCUACAUGUAAGCUAUCACUGAAGGAGGGGAUUGCGUCUGAUUAGCUAGUUGGAGGGGUAACGGCCCACCAAGGCGAUGAUCAGUAGCCGGUCUGAGAGGAUGAACGGCCACAUUGGGACUGAGACACGGCCCAGACUCCUACGGGAGGCAGCAGGGGGGAAUCUUCCGCAAUGGACGAAAGUCUGACGGAGCAACGCCGCGUGAGUGAUGACGGCCUUCGGGUUGUAAAGCUCUGUUAAUCGGGACGAAAGGCCUUCUUGCGAACAGUUAGAAGGAUUGACGGUACCGGAAUAGAAAGCCACGGCUAACUACGUG